AACAAACCCACCCGGUGGACUGCCGAGCUACAAGUCCUACGACACAGGAGCGGGAUUCUCUAAAAAGCCAAGGUCGUGGUUGGCCAAGAGGGCCCACUUGGAGACUUAGCCUUUCGCUCAAUACUAGAAUUGACAAUUGAAACAUAGCAUCUGAGGUUGCAUUAAUCGAGGAUACACGACAGAAGGAAUUGUUCUAUUUCCAAACUUUACCUUCAACAAGCGUAGAUUUA
rnacentral:lncRNA from 1 species